rnacentral:rRNA from 1 species
UUGACCUCGGAUCAGGUAGGAAUACCCGCUGAACUUAAGCAUAUCAAUAAGCGGAGGAAAAGAAACCAACAGGGAUUGCCUCAGUAACGGCGAGUGAAGCGGCAACAGCUCAAAUUUGAAAUCUGGCCCCCAGGCCCGAGUUGUAAUUUGUAGAGGAUGAUUCUGGCGACGCGCCUUCCGAGUUCCCUGGAACGGGACGCCAUAGAGGGUGAGAGCCCCGUCCGGUCGUGCGCCUAGCCUCUGUGAAUCUCCUUCGACGAGUCGAGUAGUUUGGGAAUGCUGCUCUAAAUGGGAGGUAUACGUCUUCUAAAGCUAAAUACCGGCCAGAGACCGAUAGCGCACAAGUAGAGUGAUCGAAAGAUGAAAAGCACUUUGAAAAGAGGGUUAAAAAGUACGUGAAAUUGCUGAAAGGGAAGCGCUUAUGACCAGACUUGGGCGUGGUGAAUCAUCCGGCGUUCUCGCCGGUGCACUUUGCCUGUCCAGGCCAGCAUCAGUUCUCCCCGGGGGAUAAAGGCUUCGGGAAUGUAGCUCCUUCGGGAGUGUUAUAGACCGUUGCGUAAUACCCUGGGGGGGACUGAGGUACGCGUUCUGCAAGGAUGCUGGCGUAAUGGUCAUCAGUGACC